rnacentral:lncRNA from 1 species
CCUCCUUGCAUCAAAUGAUGCUGAAUGCCUCCAGCCUCAUCUCAAACCACUCCCUGACUCACAUUUUAUGCCCCUUCAAUAUGGGGCUACUUCUGUCUUCCCCAUGCUCCUCUCCUUCCCCUACCCUCUGGGACUCUACCCCUCUGGGAAGGCUUCCUGCUUGCCCCCUGUUGGCCAGUGCCCCUCUUUUCUUUUUUUUUGAGACAGAGUCUUGCUCUGUCACCCAGGCUGGAGGGCAGUGGCUAUUCACAGGCGUGGUCCUACUACUGAUCAGCACAAAAAUUUUGACCUGCCCUGUUUCUGACCUGGGCCAGUUCACCCCUCCUUAGGCAACCUGGCAGUCCCCCACUUCCGGGAGGUCACGAUAUUGAUGCUAAACUUAGUAUGGACACCGAAUCGGCACAGCGCACUACAGCCCAGAACUCCUGGACUCAAACAAUUCUCCAGCCUCAGCCUCCCAAGUAGCCAGGACUAUAGGCAUACACCACCACGCCUGGCUCAUUCAACAAAUUUUUAUCUAGACCUUUUAUAUAGUAGUUACUGUUCUAAGCACUAGGAGCACAGCAUUGAAUAAAACAGGCAAAAGAGGUAUUCGAAAUGAUUGACUUCUGGAUAUAUAUUUUAUUUAAAGCCAAGGGGAUUUGCUGAUAUAUCAGAUGCAUUUUGUCUUAGCUCAUUUUUGCUGCUAUAACAAAAUACGUGAGACUGGGUAAUUUGUAAAUAACAGAAAUUUAUUUUUCACAGUUCUGGAUGCUGGAAAAUCCAAGAUCAAGCCAUCAAUAGGUUCAAUGUCUGACAUGGGCUGUUCUCAGCUUCCAAGGAGACUAUUUUUGCUGCAUCCUUCAGAUGAGACAAAUACUGUGUCUUCCCAUGGCAGAAGAGAUGGAAGGGCAAAAGGUUCUAGCUAGUUCCCUCCAGCCUUUUUAUAAGGCACCAAAACCAUCCAUGAGAUUAGAGCCUUCCAAAGAUCCCACCUCUUAAUACUGCUGCAUUGAGGAUUAGGUUUCAACAUGAAUUUCAGAGAGAAACAAACUUAACCCAUCGUGUGUUGGAAGAAGGCUAAAGUCAAGAAUGAUGUCAAGGUUUUUAUUUAUGUAUUUAUUUUUGUUAUUUUUUAUUGCAUUUUAGGUUUUGGAGUACAUGUCAAGAACAUGCAAGAUAGUUGCAUAGGUACACACGUGGCAAUGUGAUUUGCUGCCUUUCUCCCCUUCACCUAUAUCUGGCAUUUCUACCCAUGCUAUCUCUCCCCAACUCCCCACCCACCACUGUCCCUCCCCUAUUCCCCACAACAGACCCCAGUGUGUAGUGCUCCCCUCCCUGUGUCCAUGUGUUCUCAUUGUUCAACACCCGCCUAUGAGUGAAAACAUGCGGUAUUUCAUUUUCUGUUCUUGUGUCAGUUUGCUGAGAAUGAUGUUCUCCAGGUUCAUCCAUGUCCCUACAAGGACACAAACUCAUCGUUUUUGAUUGCUGCAUAAUAUUUCAUGGUGUAUAUGUGCCACAUUUUCCCAGUCCAGUCUAUCAUCGAUGGGCAUUUGGGUUGAUUCCAGGUCUUUGCUAUUGUAAACAGUGCGGCAAUGAACAUUCAUGUGCAUGUGUCCUUAUAGUAGAAUGAUUUAUAAUCCUUUGGAUAUAUACCCAGUAAUGGGAUUGCUGGGUCAAAUGGAAUUUCUAUUUCUAGGUCCUUGAGGAAUCGCCACACUGUCUUCCACAAUGGUUGAACUAAUUGACACUCCCACCAACAGUGUAAAAGUGUUCCUAUUUCACCACAUCCUCUCCAGCAUCUGUUGUCUUCAGAUUUUUUAAUGACCACCAUUCUAACUGGCGUGAGGUGGUAUCUCAAUGUAGUUUUGAUUUACAUUUAUCUAAUGACCAGUGAUGAUGAGCAUUUUUUCAUAUGUUUGUUGGCCUCAUGUAUGUCUUCUUUUGUAAAGUGUCUGUUCAUAUCCUUUGCCUACUUAUGAAUGGGCUUGUUUGUUUCUUUUCUUGUAAAUCUGUUUUAGUUCUUUGUAGAUUCUGGAUAUCAGCCCUUUGUCAGAUGGGUAAACUGCAAAAAUUUUUUCCCAUUCUGUUAGUUGCCAAUUCACUUUAAUGACUGUUUCUUUUGCCGUGCAGAAGCUGUGGAGUUUGAUUAGGUCCCAUUUGUCUAUUUUGGCUUUUGUUGCCAAUGCUUUUGGUGUUUUGCUCAUGAAGUCCUUGCCUACUCCUAUGUCCUAAAUGGUUUUUCCUAGAUUUUCUUCUAGGGUUUUUAUGAUGUUAGGUCUUAUGUUUAAGUCUUUAAUCCAUCUGGAGUUAAUUUUAGUGUAAGGUGUCAGGAAGGGGUCCAGUUUCUGCUUUCUGCAUAUAGCUAGCCAAUUUUUCCAACAUCAUUUUGUCAGGUUUAUCAAAGAUUGUAUGGUUGUAGAUAUGUUGUUUUGCCUCCGAUGCCUCUGUUCUGUUCCAUUGGUCUAUAGCUCUGUUUUGUUUUUUUUUUAUGAGUACCAUGCUGUUUUGAUUACUGCUGCCUUGUAGUAUAGUUUGAAGUCUGGUAAUGUGAUAUCUCUUGCUGUGUUCUUUUUACUUAGAAUUGACUUGGCUAUUCAGGCUCCCUUUUGGUUCCAUAUGAAGUUUAAGGUGGCAUUUCCCAGAGACUGAUCCAAGAUGGCCCUUUAGGAGCAACUCAGGAUUGUAGCUCCCAGUGAAAGCACAGAGGGUGAGUGAACGCUGCAUUUCCAGAGGGAUCUUUAUUGCCCACAGACCAGGAGAUUCCCAGGCCGAGGAGCCCCACGGGUCGUCAGCGUGGCCGUUUCACUGGCGCCCAGGUGAGGCAGCUCUCCGUACAAAAUACACUGAUCUGGUUGCCCUUUUAAGCUGGCAAUUGAAGCUCCAGGAAGGCAGAUUUGCCCAUACAUCUGAUUAAAUUGGUCUGAAACAGAGAGCCAGGCUAGGAGAUUCCCAGGCAGCGCCAUUGUUUCAGCCGGCGCAGUGGGUCGCCGCAUGGGAAAUCACACAGAUCCCGGCGCCCUUUCAGCAGGUGACUGGAACACCUGGGAGAGAGUCAACUGUUCAACUUAAAAAAAAAAAGGCUCUGAGGCAGGGAGCCAGGUGAUCAGGCUCCGGGGGGGGUCCCACCCCCACAAAAAUAAAAAAGCAAAGAAACAGCAAUUGGAAACGUUUGGGGUUGAGAGUUUCACAGCAAGCACAGCUGAACUCAGGAUGGUGCAGCUCGGUGGGGGAGGGGCGUCCGCCAUUACCGAGGCACUCCACCCCUACGGAGGUAGUCCGCCAUUGCUGAGGCAGCCUGCCAUUGCCGAGGCAACCCGCCAUAACAGAAAGAGUCCUCAAUUACAGAGGCAGGCCACCAUUGCUGAGGCAGUUCUAACCACACCGAUAUAAACAGAACUGCAGGAAAGCUCACACAGCAGCAGGGCAGAGCCGACAGCAGGGCAGAGCCCAAAGCAGCUCAGCAAAGCCUCUGCAGGCAGACAGUUACUAGGCUGCCUCCUUGCUGGGCAAGGCAGCCCUGAAAAAAAAAACGCAGCAGCACAAUGGAUACUCGUAAAUAAAGCCCUAACUACCUGGGACAGAGCACCUGGGGAAAAAAGGGGGGUUUAUGAGUUCUGCUGCAGCAGACUUAAAUGUACCCGCCUAGCAGCUCUGAAUGAAUGGAGCUCACAGCUCAGCAUUUGAGCUUCUAUAAAGAACAGACUGUCUCCUCAAGCAGCUCCCUGACCCCCAUAUAGCCGAAGAGUCACCUCACAAAGGACUGAUCAGACUGACAUUUGGUGGGCAUCAUUCUGGGACAAAGAUAGCAGAAGAAGAAACUGGUAGCAACCCUUACUGUUCUGCAGCUGCUGCAGGUGAUCCCCAGGCAAGCAGGGCCUGGAGUGGACCUCAGCAGUCCUACAGCAGAGGGGCCAGACUGUCAGAAAGAAAACUAAGAAACAGAAAUAACUUCAUCAUCAACAUUCUGGUCAUCCACUCAGAGACCCAAUCUGAAAAUCAGCAACUACACAGAUGACAGGAGGAUAAAUCCACAAAGAUAGGAAGAAACCAGAGCAAAAUGGAGGAAAACAUCUGAAACCAGAACACCUCUCCUCCUACAAGGGAUCACGAGUCCUCACCAGCAAGGGAACAAAGCUGGAUGGAGAAUGAGUGUGAUGAAAUGACAGAAUCAGACUUCAGAAGGUGGGUAAUGAGAAACUUCCGUGAGCUAAAAGAACAUGUUCUAACUCAAUGCAAAGAAACUAAGAACCUUGAAAAAAGAUUUGAUGAAAUGAUAACAAGAAUGGACAACUCAGAGAGAAAUAUGAGUGAUUUGAUGGAGCUGAAAAACACAACACGAGAACUUCACGAAGCAUGCACAAGUUUCAAUAGCCAAAUUGACCAAGCAGAAGAAAGAAUAUCAGAGGUCGAAGAUCAACUCAAUGAAAUAAAAUGAGAAGGAAAGAUUAGAGAAAAAAGCACAAAAAGGA